rnacentral:rRNA from 1 species
UAGGGAAUAUUGGACAAUGGGCGCAAGCCUGAUCCAGCCAUGCCGCGUGAUAGAUGAAGGCCCUCUGGGUUGUAAAUAUCUUUUAUCUGGGAAGAAACUCCUCUAUUCUUAGAGGCCUGACGGUACCAGAGGAAUAAGCACCGGCUAACUCCGUGCCAGCAGCCGCGGUAAUACGGAGGGUGCAAGCGUUAUCCGGAUUCACUGGGUUUAAAGGGUGCGUAGGCGGGCUGAUAAGUCAGUGGUGAAAGCUCCGAGCUUAACUUGGAAACUGCCAUUGAUACUGCCAGUCUUGAAUGUCGUAGAGGUAAGCGGAAUGUUGCAUGUAGCGGUGAAAUGCUUAGAUAUGUUACAGAACACCAAUUGCGAAGGCAGCUUACUAUGCGAUGAUUGACGCUGAGGCACGAAAGCGUGGGGAGCAAACAGG